AUUCAAAAACAAAUUGAAAAAAUUUAUUAAAUUUCUCCUAUAUCCUAUUCUACUAUCCUCCUAUAUUCUGAAAUGAAAACCGCAAGAAAAAGCACAGAAAGUACCAGCAACAGCAGUUGCAAGAAAAGAUCAUGGAAAGGAAGGGAACAGUUCCAAAGUUAUCCAAUAUCUUAGAUAUGAAAGAAAGGGAAUCACAGAAAGAUGGGGCCGAAACUGGCAUCUUUCUUUGAUUUCUUCGUCGCUCGCGUUCUCCGAGCUAAGCCUAACAGCUUACAUCAUAAUAUAACAAAAAUGAAACUACAGAAUAGACCAGGAGCACAUUUUUUUAAGUACCUUUAUGAGUUAAGUUUCUCCGAUUUUCAUUUUUUCGUGUUAUUUCGACAUCUCCCGGUAGGUGUGAAUUUAAUUGUAAAAGAGAUGAACUUGAAAGAUUACAUAUAUUGGUUUGGAUAGUUAUCGUCCUUUACCUUCUAUUUUUUUCAUUUUUUCGUCCAUCUUUCUCGUAAUACAAAUCCCCCUAAUUAUGGGCCAAAGAUUCUCACUGGUUCACAAGUUCAAUCUUAAAAUUUUUUCGAAAAUGUGUCGUAUCAUCAGAACCGUUUAGAGAGAGAAUUCGCGUGCCACUUCCUUACACAUCGCAUUCCCCUAAUACUAAUCUCCGAAUACAUUUUUGAGCUAUCCCUAAAGCACUUAAUUUUAUUUGAAACUGUGUUGCGUGUAGUCGAAAAAUUGGGAAUGCAGCAUCCAGACACUUUGUUCGAUGUACUUGUGCAUUAAAAUCGAUCUCCAACGCAACGGUAAAAUUAAAAAAUCUUUGGGUGCAUAGAAUGUGUGAGAAAUUCUCAUGUAGCGCUAGUUUUAUAUGGGAAAUCGUGAAGGUAACGAGCAGAAAGUUAUGAGAGCAUGAAGUGAAGAAAGGAAAAUCGACGGAGGAAAAGUUUCAAUUUUUCCGAACGGAUUAUAACGGGCUGCUGAAUAGUCCAAGUAGGUCUUCAAUGGCAAAUAUUAUGUUAAAUCUCUUAUGAAUGGGACAAUGCUGACGGGAUUCUAAUAUCUGGAUCUUAAAUGCGUGUAUAGAACAUCAUAUUGAAGCCACAUUGUUAUCCCAUGAACUAGUAGACCUAUAAUAUAAUAAAUGGAACGGCAACCCUAUAGGGUGUACCCUGGAUGAAAAAUGUAUCCAAGGUCUAAUAAUUUCGUGAGCUUUCCUAAGCCUAACAGCUGAAAUCGAUGAUCGAAGUGGGUUGCUACUGGACGAAUAGGUUUCGUUUACGAGUAUCGUAACCACAUGUUUCCUCCAUCUUUUCUAUUGUCCGAUAAUCCUUUUUUUCUUUCAACAGACCUACCCAGUUGCUUUUGAGUUGUUCCUCGUAAUGAUGAGACGUAAUUUAGCCGAGAUUAACAGAACUGGAAAUUAUCUCCACGUAGAAUCGAAGCGAUAACGACCGUUGUGAGUAGGACGUAUCUGGAGUCUAAUCUGCUUUCAGCGAUAAUUCAAGUUAAUUAUUCUCCGUAGUCUUGGGCUGUGAGCUCCAUGCGUUUCCUUUGAAGCUCUGGCAUCGGAUCAAGGUAUAUAUUUCUCUCGCCUGGACGUCUCCCAAACAGAGAGAAAUUCACGGAUCCCCAGGCACCGACCGAUCUUAUAACGAAAAAUAUUUCACGGAAGUAAUAACACACUCGACUGAAAUUUUAUUCCCAUUCCGUUGAUGUAACUCGUUCAACUUGCCGAUAAACGAACGCUUCAAACAAGUUACUUUGGAAACGUUCAUUUACAAGCGAAUUAACAGAAGUUCGAGGCGAUAAGAACUCGAAACAUCAAACCUGCUGAAAUAAGUUCUAUCAAACUUUCCAACUACUGCAGAACAACUGUGAAUUGCAGGCGAAUUAAUAUAGCAAACGGUUGGUCGUUUCAACUGCAAUCGACCCGGGAAGAAAGAACUUGGUAUACAAACUUUUCGUCUAGAAAGAAUAAUUUCCCGGAUUCUUGAAAGAUCGGAAGCAAUCUAGGAGUAGCUGACGGCGCGAUAGAGAAAAUUUGUUCAAGAAAGAAUUGUAAUAUUUGUCGAUUAAGUCGAGUUCGUCCAGAAGCUUCUGACUUAGAGGCUAUUUCCUUUCUUCGUACGUCACAGCAUGGCUUCAAAGCUGAAGCGUAAAGACCGCGUUCUUUACUUUGAAAACAGACUAGCUUUACACAGGCGGAAGGACUAAGUUUUAAUUAAAGGUCGCGGUCGUUUUUCAGAGCGGCAACGUUUUCACGCUCACGCGUUUUUUAAGGAGAUUUUAAUUUGUUGCACAACUUUCAGAUCGUGAUGCGCAUCUCCUUCAAAGAUCUUUUUCAGAAUCUUCAUAAUUAAAAUAAAGUAACAGCGAUGUCUGGGUAUAUUCCACAAAAGUUCUUCUUUAUUCACUUUAUCAAACGACUUGUAAAACGAGCUGGACCAAAUGCAUCCAUUUUCCAAAUAAAUUUUUCUUCGUUCCUGUCGAUUGAAUUACAGUCGACCGUCGCGUCGGUAUAUGUCUAUUUGCGAUGAAAACGCAAAUGCAGAGCGGCGCGGGAAGCGAAGAAAAAUAGAGAUGGGAUCUCCAAUCGGGCUACGUAAUUUUUUCAAUUUAAAUCUAAUCUAACCUGGCACGCAGACGCAUCUACAUAUAUUUUCGGAGCAAAGUAGCGAACGGAAGUGAGACAGGGGCACAAAUGGGAAGGCUAGUAGACCUCUCACAGAGCUCGAAUAUUUUUUCCUUUAUUCAGGCCGUUCACCGUGCUGGCAAUUACGUGCCAUUUACGUGGCAACCAGGCUGUCGCAUCUAACGCGGCUUUUCCGCCUACACGCGCCCGCGCGUGAAUUCGAUCCGAUCGCAGCUAGCCCCGAUCGACUAACCCGAAAUACCGGAAUCGAUUAUGCUGGUUUACAGGAUGCCUCGUCAAUCAACGCGUGAGCUCCCCAAUUUUUCAAUCACCUUUUUUUCACCGAAGACAACAGCGACACGUGAACCAACGUACGAUGCUUCCCGUUAAACUGAAGCGUCAAUAGGAAGCUCGUGUCACGAUGCGCCGAGAUGUAAGACAACGAGAUAGCGUUUGUCGAACAUACGUUAUUCUACUGUUAAUAUACAUACUAUGAAAUUUCAUAAAAUAUGAUCAGCUUGGUAGCAGAUUGUUUCCGUAAGCUAUAAUUUAAUUAAAUAAUUGUAAUUUAUAAUUUAAUUACACCACCGAUUCCGUAAAUAAUGCUGCUUUUCUGAGAGUUAAGCUUCAAAAAAUGAGAGUUGUUGCCAUCGGAGUUUAAAAAAAUUGAAAUAGGAAACUUAAUAGAAACAGACAGUGGAUUAUUAAAAGAUAGGAGAAAAUUUGUCAACGAUUGAUUGCGAAGAAGUAAUCGUUUAGUUUUAUCUAGCAUGGAAUAGCUUUAAAAAGUUAUUUUCAACAAGAUGGUAUAUAAAGAAGAGAACAAUUCAGUUGUAUUAUCGAGAUACACACUGGCUCGAAAUACAUACUGUUAUGUCUAAGUACUUUACUUAUCCCGUUAGGAGAUUACAUUUCCGUUCCGGCUGAGAUUACUUAUUCGUUUUAUAGCGAUAAGAGUAAGUCGGUAUAUAUGUAUAAAGCAGAGAAGAUACGUAUAUACGAUUCCAAGGGAAUCCAUAAAAGUAACAACAUACAAAACUUUUCUUAUAUCCGGUGGAGUAUGUGCGCACAACGUUGUAAUAGUAACCUCAAAAUAAAUGUAGACGUUGUACCGAUGUAUCAGUAAUGCGAUGUUGCGGAAUCGAUAGUAUCAGCCGAAGAGUAAUUUCGGAAAGACAGUUAUUAUCGAUGCAAAGACUAAACAGUCAUUGUAUGAUAUACGCUAUAAUAAAGUCGAAAAUUUCGAGAAAUUGAAGUUCAAUAAUCAACUCCUAAUAGAAGGUAGGAAUAUGAGAGAAAAGGAAUUCCCAAACGAAUACGUCGAAAUAGCAGGUAAUAGGAAAAGGGGCAAGACACUGCGGCAUAAGUUCACCUGCGAUACUUUGUGAUACUUGAGCAUGAACUAUUUUCUCUCUCUACCUUUUUCGUUAUCUAUUUAUCCGUUGAGCCAAGAAAUUGAUGCAAUUUCCUGUAACUUCUGAAAGUUAUGUCGCUUGACAAAAGAACACUCAAUUACCAAAUUUGAUAUGUGCAACAUUACCGAUAGAAUAUAUUACACCGUAUCUUCUGGGAUGCGACUACUUAUCCUAGUACCUUCCUAAAAAAUGUAACCUUUUACAUAGUUACGCCCGAGGACUGGCGCUAUUAUCGUUAAAAUAUUCGAUCGAAUUGAUGGGACGAAAGCCAUUUUUCUUUGAGCAGUAUUUUAUAUUUAAAUGGUGAAAUAUUCCCUCAAGUCCACCAAGUAUAUUUUACUAUCGAACAUGCACGUACCACGUACGAAUUCAACGCCUUUAAAAUCCUAGGAAAAUGAUAUGACACACAGAAAAUGAUAUUACCAUCUUCAUACAAGUAAGUAUAUCCAGAGUUGAAUACAUACUUACAUGUAUGAAAACGAUAAUAUCACUUUACGAGUUUCUUUUUCUGUGCGACUUUCGAAUUAUUAAAACUGCGGAUCGUUACGGACAAUUGUGCAUUUAUUAUAUAGCAACUUGUAAUUUGGAUGUGAACGUAGUGUUUUUGUGAAGAGAAUGAACGCCGGCUGUGAACAAAGAAAUUACCGUGAAUCCAGGACACAUAAGUCUUUAAUUAAAAAUUCUCUAUACACAGAGCUGUAUUCUUUCGUAACAACUUCUCGCUUUGCAGAAUAAUAAAAAGCAUUUCUUUGUAUAACGAACUGAAUCUGAGAAAGCAAUUACUUCUAUUUUUGCCGUCUCAAGAUACCGAAGAAUUCUAACAGCUUUCUUUCAAGAUGUAUCUUUUUAAACGUAUUGAUAUUCGAAGAGAGAGUUGCACAGAUAUCGUAUAUUAAUUAAUUGUCAAUCGAUGAAAACUGUGAAUAUUAAAAAUCGCAGUCGAUUAAAAUACUUGUUGAUUUUACCUGAUUAUUAACUGGUAUAUUUGCAACAUUUGCACAUUGUGCGCGUGAUUUAUAACUAUGCGUGAUAUCAAACAAAUUUAUCAUAUUAUCAAUUUAAUUAUUUAAGAAGACACGUUGAUCAAAGAAGUUCACGAUACAUCGAGUUUGAAAAACCUAAGUUUAAGUCUAAUUUUCUAUACUUUAAGAAGGUGUAGAAAAUUAAGAGAGGAAGGUGCCGACUGAAACCUACAGAGUAAUCGUACAUCUAUAUUCGCAAUGAAUAGUUUAUCGAAAUAAAACAGUAAUACGAUAUAACGAGUUGGACAAAUAACAUAUAUGAAACAAGUGCAAGUUUCGACACCAGACAUGCCACGGAAUUUAAUAACAUCGUGAAGCUUGAGUUCCCCCGUACACAGAACUGGUUAAAUUCGAAAACUUUCCCUGUUAUUAAUUGCUACUAAUAUUAUACCUCGAUUUCCUCUUCCAACAAAAUUACGUAUGCGACCAUGGAAAUAUACGAUUUUCUCUUUAUUUUACGACUAACGUUCCCCAGCCUUAAUUGUUUACACGAGAUGCACCGUAACACGAAGUAUCCUCUGCUCUGUAGUAAAUGUUAUAAACAAACGAGGCAGUGCAAACCGAAUUGAAAGUUUUACAGUAGAGGAAGUUAUAGAAGAUUAAGAGAGGAAGCUCUCGACUGAAUCAAAUGUUAAUAAAAACCGACGCAGUCCGGUUCAAUUUAAUAUUAACGGGUGUUCUCGAAGAGCUAUAGGGAGGAACGCGAAAUUGCCGCAGAGUAUUUUACACAAAACUCGAUUAGUAGGUGGAAGUUCUCUGCAGAAGCGUCUGUACCAUUAUUGUGAAAGCCACGGACGGGAAAGUAGGUGCAACGACGAGAGCUAUCUCCGCGUUUAAUUAACGUACGUUGAAGCCAGUAGCAUCAACGCGAGGCUUACUUUCCUAGUCGUUCGUGCUCAACAUAUCGGCCCAGUUUGCUUAUUUUGUCCGGCUAAAUGGGACUCUAUCACUCCGAAUAAUUCGACGUGGGUCCAGCUCGAAUAAUCGCAAGGAAUUUGGUACUAUUUUCAAACACGACGCGAUUACGCGACGCUCGAACGGCCAAAGCUAAUUUCAUUUCGUUACUUCUCUACGUUACUUUGCUAAGAUGACGAGCUGUUAAUUAAUGGAUCCUAGGUGAACAUUGCGAUCUCUGAUUUUACACCCGAGUAGAAAAUUGGGUUGCAUCGAUUUCAGUAUACCAUCGUGUAUGAAUGAAACGAGCUAUCGUAUAUUUUAAUUAAUGGCAUCGGCGUCUUUAUCUUCGGUAUCACGUUUUCUUAUCGAUACGCACGAUCUUCUAACUGGCUCAUUAGCAAAAGUUA